GUGCUUGCUUCAGCAGCACAUAUACUAAAAUUGGAACAGUGCAGUGAUUAGCAUGUCCCCUGUGCAAGGAUGACAUGCAAAUUUGUGAAGCAUUCCAUGUUUUU